rnacentral:lncRNA from 1 species
UCUACUACCCUCUGAGGCUCUGUGGUGUGGCCCAGUUCUCCCAGCCUACAGCCCUGUACAGCAUAUUACUGUGCUGAAUACCACAGGCAAUUGUAUCACCAUGACAUGUGUGUAUGUAAAUAUACCUAAACCUAGAAAAGGUACAGUAAAAAUACAGUAUGAAAGAUAGAAGAUGGUACACCUGUAGGGGCACUUGUCGGGAAUGGAGUUGAUCAAGAUGAAUUUUUCAACAUGUCCUCUUGCUGGCAACAUUAGCAGUGGAUUUUGUGUGCUUAAGGGCCAUAUUGGGCAAAAUAGUGUGAAAGUAAAUCAAGCACAGAGACACGGCAAAGACAAGAUAUGUGAGAUUGCUAUGACAUAAUGUGGAAUACUGUUUUAUAGUGAACAUUUGUUUCAGUAAGUAGAAAUAAUAUACACUUAAAAUAAUAAUAAAAGGCUACUAAACAAGUAAACCAGUAACAUAGUCAUUUAUAUAGUCAUUAUCAAAUAUUAUGUACUGUGCAUAGUUGUGUGUGCUAUGCUUUUAUAUGACUGGCAGUAUAGUAGGUUUCUUUACACUGGUGUCACUACAUCCUUGUGAGAAAUGCAUUGAGCUAUGACAGCUUCAACAUGAUCAGCUAAUAGGAAUUUCUCAGCUGCACUAUAAUCUUUGGGGACUACUGUUGUAGUUCACUAUUGACAAGUACAAACAGG